GCUCAGUGUAUUACUGCAACUGUAGUACAGAAGACCUGAGUUCAAAUUUGGUCUCAGACACUUACUAUCUGUGUGACCCUGGGUAAAUCACUUAACCUCUGUUUGCCUCAGUUUCCUUAACUGCAAAAUGGGGAUAAUAAUACCACUUACCUCAAAGGUUGUGAGAAUCAAAU
rnacentral:snoRNA from 1 species